UUGAACGCUGGCGGCAGGCCUAACACAUGCAAGUCGAGCGGUAGCACAGAGAGCUUGCUCUCGGGUGACGAGCGGCGGACGGGUGAGUAAUGUCUGGGAAACUGCCUGAUGGAGGGGGAUAACUACUGGAAACGGUAGCUAAUACCGCAUAACGUCGCAAGACCAAAGUGGGGGACCUUCGGGCCUCAUGCCAUCAGAUGUGCCCAGAUGGGAUUAGCUAGUAGGUGGGGUAACGGCUCACCUAGGCGACGAUCCCUAGCUGGUCUGAGAGGAUGACCUGCCACACUGGAACUGAGACACGGUCCAGACUCCUACGGGAGGCAGCAGUGGGGAAUAUUGCACAAUGGGCGCAAGCCUGAUGCAGCCAUGCCGCGUGUGUGAAGAAGGCCUUCGGGUUGUAAAGCACUUUCAGCGGGGAGGAAGGCGAUAAGGUUAAUAACCUUGUCGAUUGACGUUACCCGCAGAAGAAGCACCGGCUAACUCCGUGCCAGCAGCCGCGGUAAUACGGAGGGUGCAAGCGUUAAUCGGAAUUACUGGGCGUAAAGCGCACGCAGGCGGUCUGUCAAGUCGGAUGUGAAAUCCCCGGGCUUAACCUGGGAACUGCAUUCGAAACUGGCAGGCUAGAGUCUUGUAGAGGGGGGUAGAAUUCCAGGUGUAGCGGUGAAAUGCGUAGAGAUCUGGAGGAAUACCGGUGGCGAAGGCGGCCCCCUGGACAAAGACUGACGCUCAGGUGCGAAAGCGUGGGGAGCAAACAGGAUUAGAUACCCUGGUAGUCCACGCCGUAAACGAUGUCGAUUUGGAGGUUGUGCCCUUGAGGCGUGGCUUCCGGAGCUAACGCGUUAAAUCGACCGCCUGGGGAGUACGGCCGCAAGGUUAAAACUCAAAUGAAUUGACGGGGGCCCGCACAAGCGGUGGAGCAUGUGGUUUAAUUCGAUGCAACGCGAAGAACCUUACCUGGUCUUGACAUCCACAGAACUUUCCAGAGAUGGAUUGGUGCCUUCGGGAACUGUGAGACAGGUGCUGCAUGGCUGUCGUCAGCUCGUGUUGUGAAAUGUUGGGUUAAGUCCCGCAACGAGCGCAACCCUUAUCCUUUGUUGCCAGCGGUUCGGCCGGGAACUCAAAGGAGACUGCCAGUGAUAAACUGGAGGAAGGUGGGGAUAACGUCAAGUCAUCAUGGCCCUUACGACCAGGGCUACACACGUGCUACAAUGGCAUAUACAAAGAGAAGCGACCUCGCGAGAGCAAGCGGACCUCAUAAAGUAUGUCGUAGUCCGGAUUGGAGUCUGCAACUCGACUCCAUGAAGUCGGAAUCGCUAGUAAUCGUAGAUCAGAAUGCUACGGUGAAUACGUUCCCGGGCCUUGUACACACCGCCCGUCACACCAUGGGAGUGGGUUGCAAAAGAAGUAGGUAGCUUAACCUUCGGGAGGGCGCUUACCACUUUGUGAUUCAUGACUGGGGUG
rnacentral:rRNA from 1 species